rnacentral:rRNA from 1 species
CCCCCUACGGGAGGCAGCAGUGGGGGAUAUUGCACAAUGGGGGGAACCCUGAUGCAGCGACGCCGCGUGGGUGAAGAAGCGCCUCGGCGCGUAAAGCCCUGUCAGCAGGGAAGAAAAUGACGGUACCUGAAGAAGAAGCCCCGGCUAACUACGUGCCAGCAGCCGCGGUAAUACGUAGGGGGCAAGCGUUAUCCGGAAUCACUGGGUGUAAAGGGAGCGUAGACGGCUGUGCAAGCCUGAAGUGAAAGGCGGGGGCCCAACCCCCGGACUGCUUUGGGAACUGUACGGCUGGAGUGCAGGAGAGG